UACGGAGGGUGCAAGCGUUAUCCGGAUUCACUGGGUUUAAAGGGUGCGUAGGCGGGCAGGUAAGUCCGUGGUGAAAUCUCCGAGCUUAACUCGGAAACUGCCAUGGAUACUAUUUGUCUUGAAUGUUGUGGAGGUGAGCGGAAUAUGUCAUGUAGCGGUGAAAUGCUUAGAUAUGACAUAGAACACCAAUUGCGAAGGCAGCUCACUACACAAAUAUUGGCGCUGAGGCACGAAAGCGUGGGGAUCAAACAGG
rnacentral:rRNA from 1 species